rnacentral:rRNA from 1 species
CAGCAGCCGCGGUAAUACGUAGGUCCCGAGCGUUGUCCGGAUUUAUUGGGCGUAUAGCGAGCGCAGGCGGUUAGAUAAGUCUGAAGUUAAAGGCUGUGGCUUAACCAUAGUACGCUUUGGAAACUGUUUAACUUGAGUGCAAGAGGGGAGAGUGGAAUUCCAUGUGUAGCGGUGAAAUGCGUAGAUAUAUGGAGGAACACCGGUGGCGAAAGCGGCUCUCUGGCUUGUAACCGACGCUGAGGCUCGAAAGCGUGGGGAGCAAACAGGAUUAGAUACCCCCGUAGUCCCUGUCUCUUAUACA